AGAGAAACAAAGCAAGAGAGAGACACAGAAAGACAGAAGGAAGCGAGAGAGAGAAAAAGACAGAGUGGGUGAACGAUCUCCGAAUGGCCCGCGGGUGAUGUCCGAGAAUUGAUCCGAUCGCUGGACGGGACCUGACCGCCCGGUCGCUGUGGGACCCCUGGGUGGAAUUCUGGACGUCGCCAUGUUGACCAGCGAGCCCAGGAUCGCCGACACCUCCACCCCUCGGUGCCCCAAGGGCGACGAGCUCUGCGUGGUCCUGCACCAUGAAUCCGAGAUCAUCAUCGUUCCAGUCCUGCUGCUGGGAGCCUCCUGCCUGGUGGGAGUUUGCAUCCUGUGGAUGAUCUGCAAAAAGAAAAAUGAAGAUGGGAGUGAACCGG